CUCAGGUUCAAGCAAUUUCUCCUGUCUCAGCCUCCUGAGUAGCUGAGAUUUGAAGUCCCACCAUGCCUGGCUAAUUUUUGUAUUUUUAGUAGAGAUGGAGUUUCACCAUAUUGUUCAGGCUGGUCUCGAACUCCUGACCUCAGGUGAUCCACCCGCCUCGGCUUCCCAAAGUGCUGGGAUUACAGGUGUGAGCCACCACACCCAGCCUCCUUUAAUUAUUUGGGUAUUUACAUUAUCUGACAUGAGUAUUCAAACUUAUACCAUUUCUAUUAUCUGGGACUAUUUGUUAGACAGGGUGGAAACAGAAAGAGAAUAUGUGACCCAGUUUUCCAUUAAAAGCUAGCAUUUAUUAUUUCUAUAUUUUAUUCUGGACUAGGCAGGUAUUUACUUUUGUGCUUUGCCAUGGCUGAAACCAGUAUCCCCAACCCUAUCUCACAUAUGGCUCUUACUAUUCACAACUAAGGUUAGACAAGGGUGGAUGUGCAUCUAAUUCUAGAAAAAAAAUCAUCCCUUAAGCUUGGCAGGUCAAAAGCCCAUCUUCUCACACACACACACACACACACACACACACACACACACACACACACACACAAAACAAAAAACACAUGCUCUAUUGGGAAUUCUUAUAAUGUAAUCAUGCUGUUAACUUUGGUUAAUAACAUAAAAAUUAUUAAUAGAGUCCUAUCCUCAAAAAGAACAAAAAUGUCUUACAGGAUUUGUGAUGCCUGAAAUGCUAUAAAUCUCUGAGGACAGGUUAUAUCCUUCCCUCUUCCUUGAGGCAUUUGUCACAAUUCCAGACAAGAUUAAAAAGAGAUAAGCCUCAGAAACUUUUGAAGAUAUUAGAAAAAUCAUGUUAGGGAAGUGACUUAGAGGUUAGACUUCAACAAACCAACACCCUUCAAAUGUCUACCACUAAUAAUAAACUGUCAUCUGCUACAGCAAGAUGGUGGAGACUGAGCCAACAAGGGACUUAUAUUUAGUAAUAACCUUUAUUCUCUUUUCCCUUUGUUGUGUGUGUUGCAAGCGAAAGAUCUAUUUUUAAAAAUAACACAAUAGAAAAGUAGCAAGUAGACAAUGGCAUUUUUCACUAAUAGACCUUUCUAACCACUCCACAUCACUUUUCUGACCUUCUUUCUUCUACCAAACUUUCUGAUUACUCCACCCAAGUUUUUCUCUUAAAUACUAUUUUUUCUACUCCAUUCAACUUGUAAGUUUUGUAACAGUUAUAGAAUUGCUUACUGAUGGCAUUUAUCUUCUAUGAAUAUGUGUUUUCAAAUGUGUUAUUUACUGUAGAAAGGUUUAUUCUGUCCAAGAAUGUAUAAACUAAUUCUGUUCAAAUUUAAAGAUUAGAUUUUUUAAGGCUCAAAAUAGUUUUUAAUUACAGGUUAAUAUGUCUGUUACAAAUCCUCACCAGAGACUUUUUCAGAGUAGACAAUGAAAUGUAUUUUAUUUUCCAUUUUAGAUGUCAAUUUUUAAUGAAAAUGACUCAAUGCUUACACACAGUAACCAUGAAAUAUUUGUGUACAGUUAACUAUGAAAAGUCAUGUCUAAGGCUGGCAAGGCAUAUUCCCAAUUAAAAAUCACACUGACAAUUUGCCAGUCAUUGAGCUCCCAUCUUACGGCUACUCCAAAGAAAAUAAGCGAAAAUAUGAUGUUCCACUAAUUUUCUUUUUCUUUUCUUUUUUUUUUUUUUUUUUUUUUUCCAGACAGAGUUUUGCUCUGUUGCCCAGGCUGGAGUGCAGUGGCACGAUCUCGGCUCACUGAAAUCUCCGCCUCCUGGGUUCAGGCUAUUCUCCUGUCUCAGCUCCCCGAGUAGCUGGGAUUAGAGGCACGUGCCACUGCACCCAGGUAAGUUUUGUAUUUUUAGUAGAGAUAGGGUUUCCAUGUUGGCCAGGCUGGUCUCAAACUCCUGACUUCAGGUGAUCCGCUCGCCUUGGUCUCCCAAAGUGCUGGGAUUACAGGUGUAAGCCACUGUGCCUGGCUCCCACCCAUUUUCAAAUCAGUCAAAAGGCAAAGAUAUCUUAUUGUUUGUGCAGUAGAAAAUUAAAGUAUAUAUGCUAACAUGGUAAUAGUACAAAAGGAAUGAUUAGGACAGGGAAGGAAACCUGACUAGAGAUUGUGAAAAAGAUAAUGAAACUCAAUUCGAGGAUGUAAAAAUAUUAAUAAACAUUUUUAAAAAGGCAGAGUUAAAAUAUAUUAUUUACAUAUUAGAACUAAAGGAAGGUAAGAAAAGUUGCAGAUGUAUUGAAAGCAGCUGAUAAAGUACUACUGAAAAUACCAAAACACAGCAUCUCUGGAAGAGACCUUAAAAAUAAGAAAAAAUUAAAACUAAAAAUGGAAGAAAUGAGAAAUGAUUAACUGUAAGAAAAAAACUGAAGAUGUGAAGAUUCAAUAAUAAGUAGACAAGGAAGAACCAAAGCAAGGCAAAAGACCUGCAGACAGAUGCACAAAGAAAAUUUAAACAUCAACUAUGUAUUGUGAGGAAGAGAUGUGAAUAUUAUCUGAAGAGUGGCUUCAAUAUCCUAAAUCACA
rnacentral:lncRNA from 10 species